UACGAAGGGGGCUAGCGUUGCUCGGAAUCACUGGGCGUAAAGCGCACGUAGGCGGAUUGUUAAGUCAGGGGUGAAAUCCUGGAGCUCAACUCCAGAACUGCCUUUGAUACUGGCGAUCUCGAGUCCGGGAGAGGUGAGUGGAACUGCGAGUGUAGAGGUGAAAUUCGUAGAUAUUCGCAAGAACACCAGUGGCGAAGGCGGCUCACUGGCCCGGUACUGACGCUGAGGUGCGAAAGCGUGGGAGCA
rnacentral:rRNA from 1 species